GAUGAACGCUGGCGGCGUGCCUAAUACAUGCAAGUCGAACGAGCUCUCGUUGAUGAUCGGUGCUUGCACCGAGAUUCAACAUGGAACGAGUGGCGGACGGGUGAGUAACACGUGGGUAACCUGCCCUUAAGUGGGGGAUAACAUUUGGAAACAGAUGCUAAUACCGCAUAGAUCCAAGAACCGCAUGGUUCUUGGCUGAAAGAUGGCGUAAGCUAUCGCUUUUGGAUGGACCCGCGGCGUAUUAGCUAGUUGGUGAGGUAAUGGCUCACCAAGGCGAUGAUACGUAGCCGAACUGAGAGGUUGAUCGGCCACAUUGGGACUGAGACACGGCCCAAACUCCUACGGGAGGCAGCAGUAGGGAAUCUUCCACAAUGGACGCAAGUCUGAUGGAGCAACGCCGCGUGAGUGAAGAAGGCUUUCGGGUCGUAAAACUCUGUUGUUGGAGAAGAAUGGUCGGCAGAGUAACU
rnacentral:rRNA from 2 species